rnacentral:rRNA from 1 species
AAUCUGCCUUCAGGUUCGGGACAACCACUGGAAACGGUGGCUAAUACCGAAUGUGCAGCAAUGUGAAAAAUUUAUUGCCUGGAGAUGAGCUCGCGUCUGAUUAGCUAGUAGGUGUGGUAAGAGCGCACCUAGGCGACGAUCAGUAGCUGGUCUGAGAGGAUGAUCAGCCACACUGGGACUGAGACACGGCCCAGACUCCUACGGGAGGCAGCAGUGGGGAAUUUUCCGCAAUGGGCGAAAGCCUGACGGAGCAAUACCGCGUGAGGGAGGAAGGCUCUUGGGUUGUAAACCUCUUUUCUCAGGGAAGAAAAAAAUGACGGUACCUGAGGAAUAAGCAUCGGCUAACUCCGUGCCAGCAGCCGCGGUAAUACGGAGGAUGCAAGCGUUAUCCGGAAUGAUUGGGCGUAAAGCGUCCGCAGGUGGCUGUGUAAGUCUGCUGUUAAAGAAUCUGGCUCAACCAGAUAAAGGCAGUGGAAACUACAUGGCUAGAGUGCGUUCGGGGCAGAGGGAAUUCCUGGUGUAGCGGUGAAAUGCGUAGAGAUCAGGAAGAACACCGGUGGCGAAAGCGCUCUGCUAGGCCGCAACUGACACUGAGGGACGAAAGCUAGGGGAGCGAAUGGGAUUAGAUACCCCAGUAGUCCUAGC